GUGAGUGGUGGCAUCAAACAUAGUAUGGUGUUGAAAGGGGUAAAAGAUCACCAAUUAGAGAUUGACAUGAUUUGCAUGAGAAGAAAAUUUGUUCCACCUUUUUUAAAAGAAAUCAAAAGCUUAAACAUGAAAGAAGAGAACUCAUGGAGAGAGAUAGAGAAUUCAUUAUAAGUUAAAUAGAGUUCUAUCAUAAGGAAAAUAAGUUUGAAGAGAAAUUUGAAAAGCUCUUGAGGGAUGAGGAGAGAAGAGAUAUUAAAAGAAAGAAAAAGAAACAAAUACAACUAGAGCUAAAUAAGAGCAAGAGAUGUUGAAAAGAAAGAAAAUGAGAAGGAAGCUCUACUAAAUAGAGAAAAAGAAAUUCUAAAAGCUAAAGCUAAAGAAACUAGAAGAGCAAGAGAAAAACAAGAUUAAAUGCAACUAACUUGGAAGGAAAAAGAGAAAGGCUCUAAGAGAUAGAGAAGAGGAAAUUCUAAGAGCUUGAAUUGAUAAAGCUAAAAGAAUUAGAGAGGAGGAAACUAGAACAGAAAUUGGAGGGAGCACAAAGAAAGAGAAAGAAGAAAAUGAGAGAAGAGAAAGGGAGGAGAGAGAGAAGAAAGAGAAAGAAGAAAUUGAGAUAAGAGUCAUGGAGAAGGAAGAAAUCUUACUCAAGGAGGAAGUGUUAUUGAAGGCACAUUCCACUCUCAAAAUUAUAAUUGAUUUAAGAGUUUUAAAGGGAGUUUUCCAAUAUUUGAAGUCUUAUAAUUUGAUUCAUGAUUAUCAUUUCUUAAUUCCAACCUUUACUCUUACAGACUUUUUAACUCCAAUUACACUCUCCAUUGCUUUAAACUCCUUAAUAGCUUUUGUAAAAUCAUACUUUGACUUGUUGCUUAAAGAAGCUACAAAUAACUCAAAGUAGACAACAUUUUUUGUAAAGUAUGUCUUAUUAUUUUAAAG
rnacentral:lncRNA from 1 species